rnacentral:misc_RNA from 1 species
UUAGCAAAUUUAAUUCUUCUUUCAAUUCUCUGUGGGAGUCUGGACCCCCCAAAGCCACUUACCUACAUUCUUCUUUUCCCAUUACACAUCACAGUACCAUCUAUCCCUUGAAUUAAUACUAUAGUGAAACACAAAAGUAGCCAUCUUUUCUACAAGAAGCAAAAACCUAAGCGAAACAGCUUUUCUUUAUUCAUACACACUUAACAUCCAGUAAGAUUAAAAAUUAUGAAGUUGUGGACUUGUGGUUGGUCUGGACGUUCUAUACUCUCUGAGGUGUUGCAAUUAGAAGAAGAUAGGGUCCACCAUCUACUCAUCUUAAAUUCCGCAUCUAUUCUAUUGAAGAAACUUCCAAAAAGCUUGUUUAAUCAAUUAAAAUGACUGCAACGAUAUAUAUAUAUACACAUCUCUGUGCUUGAAUUAAUCAAGUUUCUUUCUCUACACCAAUUUCUUGAAAUGGGUUUUCAUUAUUUCACUAAAGUUGCACUUACAUUAACGUUAAUGUCAACCAUGGUAGGUUUUUCGAUGGCGGUUUCAGACAAAGACAGAGAGGAGUGCGCAGAGCAGCUGGUGGGUUUAGCUACAUGUCUGCCCUACGUUGGAGGUAAUGCCAGAACUCCAACGCCAGAUUGUUGCAGUGGUCUGAAGCAAGUCCUCAAAAACAACAAGAAGUGUUUGUGUGUCAUUAUUGUGGAUAGAAAUGAUCCUCAAUUAGGUCUCAAGAUAAAUGUCACUCUUGCUUUAGGCCUUCCCUCUAUUUGCCAUGCAAGUGCCAACGUUUCCCAAUGCCCUGGUAAGCAUUAUCUACGUACUAACUCAGUGUGGAUUUUGAGAAAAUGAAAAGAAAAUCCAUCUGGGUUCACUAAAAACUGCUAAAUUGUGAUGAAAUUUCAAUACUUUGUUAUGAUCCAUAUCCUUUUUAUUAAGUUAUGAUGAUGGGUAUAUAUGUAUGGAUGCAGCCCUUCUACACUUAGCACCUAAUUCUCCAGAUGCUCAAGUUUUCUAUCAAUUUGCUAAUAGCACUAAUGAGAGUAGCAGCAGCCCCGCCCCUAGUCCUAGUGGUAAUUGUGAUUUUCCUUCUAUGUGACAAUUUAUUGUCCUUAAAUUGUUCAUCAUAUCAUCACUAUAAUGAGCAAUAUUUACCUUGGAUGAAAGCAGAUGAAGCGGCCAACAGCAGAGGACAAAUUGCUCAAACGAGGAGCAAUGGAUGUAGUAGCAAUGCAAAACGAUGGGUUGGGUUGGAGUUGGUUUGUGUGGGGUUUUCACUUUGGUAUUUCCUUUAUUCAAUAUUGUUGUUCAUAUAGGUCUAUUUGGUUGUGAUGGAUCAUUGUUCUUCCAUGCCCUUCUUGUAAUAUUGUGAAUUUUCGCAUUUUAUUUUCCUAAUUGAAUGUUAAGAGCUUUAAUUAUUGCUUGACACAGAGUGAUAUUUCAUUGAACAAAGUUUAAUUUUUUAUAUUGACG